AUGAACGCUGGCGGUCUGCUUAACACAUGCAAGUCGAACGAACUCUUCGGAGUGAGGUGGCGGACGGGUGAGUAACGCGUGAGAAUCUGCCUGUGGGUCGGGAAAAACCACUGGAAACGGUGGGCUAAAUACCGGAUGAGCCGAAAGGUAAAGAUUUAUUGCCCACAGAUGAGCUCGCGUCUGAUUAGCUAGUUGGUAAGGUAAAGCGUACCAAGGCGACGAUCAGUAGCUGGUCUGAGAGGAUGAGCAGCCACACUGGGACUGAGACACGGCCCAGACUCCUACGGAGGCAGCAGUGGGAAUUUUCCGCAAUGGGCGAAAGCCUGACGGAGGCAAGACCGCGUGGGGAGGAAGGUUUUUGGAUCGUAAACCCUUUGUCAAGGAGAAGCUCUGACGGUACUUGACGAAUAAGCCUCGGCU
rnacentral:rRNA from 1 species